ACGGCGGAGAAACAACGCGCUUCGUUAAAUCGGCGGCGAUCAAAGCGACCGAUGACUGACGGACGUCAUUCGCGCAAGCGAACCGCGUCCGUUGCAUGCGGUCGCCGCUCCGAUUGCGAGCGCGUGCACGUCCCCGCUUGUAGGACGUCGCGACCCGUUGGGCGCCGGUCUAAGGAUGGCACGGAAGCCCGACCGGUAGGUGCUUUCCCGCAAGGGGGNAUCUUACCGAUCGGACCGCGCCGCUUCCCGACCGGCACGCUCGACGGUAUGAAGAUAGCGGAGGGCA
rnacentral:rRNA from 1 species